rnacentral:rRNA from 1 species
GGCUUUGCACUGAUUUUAACAAUGAAGCGAGUGGCGAACUGGUGAGUAACACGUGGGAAAUCUGCCCAGAAGCAGGGGAUAACACUUGGAAACAGGUGCUAAUACCGUAUAACAACAAAAUCCGCAUGGAUUUUGUUUGAAAGGUGGCUUCGGCUAUCACUUCUGGAUGAUCCCGCGGCGUAUUAGUUAGUUGGUGAGGUAAAGGCCCACCAAGACGAUGAUACGUAGCCGACCUGAGAGGGUAAUCGGCCACAUUGGGACUGAGACACGGCCCAAACUCCUACGGGAGGCAGCAGUAGGGAAUCUUCCACAAUGGACGAAAGUCUGAUGGAGCAAUGCCGCGUGAGUGAAGAAGGGUUUCGGCUCGUAAAACUCUGUUGUUAAAGAAGAACACCUUUGAGAGUAACUGUUCAAGGGUUGACGGUAUUUAACCAGAAAGCCACGGCUAACUACGUGCCAGCAGCCGCGGUAAUACGUAGGUGGCAAGCGUUGUCCGGAUUUAUUGGGCGUAAAGCGAGCGCAGGCGGUUUUUUAAGUCUGA